GAUGAACGCUGGCGGCGUGCCUAAUACAUGCAAGUCGAGCGAACAGACGAGGAGCUUGCUCCUCUGACGUUAGCGGCGGACGGGUGAGUAACACGUGGAUAACCUACCUAUAAGACUGGGAUAACUUCGGGAAACCGGAGCUAAUACCGUAUAACAUGUUGAACCGCAUGGUUCAACAGUGAAAGACGGUCUUGCUGUCACUUAUAGAUGGAUCCGCGCCGCAUUAGCUAGUUGGUAAGGUAACGGCUUACCAAGGCAACGAUGCGUAGCCGACCUGAGAGGGGUAUCCGCCCCACCGGAACUUAGACACGGUCCAGACUCCUACGGGAGGCAGCAGUAGGGAAUCUUCCGCAAUGGGCGAAAGCCUGACGGAGCAACGCCGCGUGAGUGAAGAAGGUCUUCGGAUCGUAAAACUCUGUUAUUAGGGAAGAACAAAUGUGUAAGUAACUAUGCACGUCUUGACGGUACCUAAUCAGAAAGCCACGGCUAACUACGUG
rnacentral:rRNA from 1 species